rnacentral:tRNA from 1 species
AAGAAAAUGACAGAGAGGCCAUGUGUCCGGCUUGAAACCGGGCUACGGAGGUUCGAUUCCUUCUUUUCUCG